AAUCUUUGCAUUUUCUGCAUGUGGCCCGUGAUGGGUUCAUCAUCCUUCAUUCGGGUUGUUAUCAUGGAGGACAUGAUUUCAUACCACUCUUGUCUUGCACUUUGAUGGUAUCUUUCCAUCAAAUAUUGGUGCAUUUCAAAAGGGUAGAAGUCCUCAUAGGACUUUUGGAGGUCGGCUGUCAUAGUGGCCAUCUUGAUGCAUGCCACCUUGGUGGCAUCCCUUUCAUGUGCCCUAAAGUUAGUGAACUCUUGAGGAGUAGCAACUGUCUCGUCAAUCUCCUUAAGCUCCUUAUCGAGGUCAUAUUCUUUGUCCUCGUAGCGGGUAAUCAUUCGGAUGUUUUUGAUCCAUUCCCUAAAGUUGGAUCCAUCAAAAGUGACUUUCCCACAUAAGUUCAUUAGAGAAAAGGAGCCAUUAGGAUUAGAGCCAAAAGCAACAAUAUUUGCAGACAUCUGAAAAGAAAAGUUUAGUUUAGAAAUAGAGAUAGUCCUUAAUAAAACACCCAAAUGUAGUAUUAAGGCUAGGACCCAAUCACAAUAUAUUAUACUUAGAAGAGGUAUGCUGUAAUCUAAGUAAUAACAUAUUUGAAAGGUAGGUGAAUGACGAUUCACCAAUUUCCACCAAAGACGAAAUAUUAAAAUAUUUAAUUUGGUUCUUAGAAACUCCUAGAUUCUUUUGAGAUUCAAUGAACUUUUCAAAGGCAUGUUUCAAUCUCGAGUGUGCCCUCCAAGUUUUGUGACUGGGAUGCCGAGGAUCACAAAACGAGGUGUGAAGUAACCAUGCAAAUUACUUGGUACCCUUAANNNNNNNNNNNNNNNNNNNNNNNNNNNNNNNNNNNNNNNNNNNNNNNNNNNNNNNNNNNNNNNNNNNNNNNNNNNNNNNNNNNNNNNNNNNNNNNNNNNNNNNNNNNNNNNNNNNNNNNNNNNNNNNNNNNNNNNNNNNNNNNNNNNNNNNNNNNNNNNNNNNNNNNNNNNNNNNNNNNNNNNNNNNNNNNNNNNNNNNNNNNNNNNNNNNNNNNNNNNNNNNNNNNNNNNNNNNNNNNNNNNNNNNNNNNNNNNNNNNNNNNNNNNNNNNNNNNNNNNNNNNNNNNNNNNNNNNNNNNNNNNNNNNNNNNNNNNNNNNNNNNNNNNNNNNNNNNNNNNNNNNNNNNNNNNNNNNNNNNNNNNNNNNNNNNNNNNNNNNNNNNNNNNNNNNNNNNNNNNNNNNNNNNNNNNNNNNNNNNNNNNNNNNNNNNNNNNNNNNNNNNNNNNNNNNNNNNNNNNNNNNNNNNNNNNNNNNNNNNNNNNNNNNNNNNNNNNNNNNNNNNNNNNNNNNNNNNNNNNNNNNNNNNNNNNNNNNNNNNNNNNNNNNNNNNNNNNNNNNNNNNNNNNNNNNNNNNNNNNNNNNNNNNNNNNNNNNNNNNNNNNNNNNNNNNNNNNNNNNNNNNNNNNNNNNNNNNNNNNNNNNNNNNNNNNNNNNNNNNNNNNNNNNNNNNNNNNNNNNNNNNNNNNNNNNNNNNNNNNNNNNNNNNNNNNNNNNNNNNNNNNNNNNNNNNNNNNNNNNNNNNNNNNNNNNNNNNNNNNNNNNNNNNNNNNNNNNNNNNNNNNNNNNNNNNNNNNNNNNNNNNNNNNNNNNNNNNNNNNNNNNNNNNNNNNNNNNNNUUUUAUAACCCAUGUGUUCUUUUAAUGGUUUUUAAAACAAAGUGAAUUUUGGUUUUCCAUAACUUGAGGACAAGUUAUGGACUCCAUUAAAACACAUAAUGAUCAUGAAUUAAUCUACCACAUAGGUUAAAAAUAAUUCCUAUGAUCAUCUAAACAUCAUAAGAUCAAGAACAUGAAUAUGAACACUUUCAUGAAUCAAAAAUUACACUUAAAACUUGUAAUUUUGAUAAUUUUUCAUUGUAAAUGGAUUAACAUGAACACUACACCAACUAAAACAAGUUUUAAAACACCAAAACAAUUUAGGGUAAUGUUCCUAGUCCAUUUCCAGCAACAAAAAUCAAAAUUCUGAAAACUGCAGCCUCUACUCGUUGAGUGCAUGAACUGACUCGACGAGUAGGUUGCAUUUGUUCAUGGACUCGUCGAGUCCCCCCAUGGACUCGGCAAUUUCAUACGGGCAGAAAGCAGAAAACUCAAUUUUUCAAGCAGUUUGCACAAAAAUCAAACAAGCAAGCCUAGGAUCUAAUACCACUGAUGGGUUUUGAGCAUUCUAACACUUCCUAAGUGUACAUGCAACCCUAAUAAACUUGGAUCUAUGUUUUUCUAAUAAUCAUGCAAAGUUGUUUUCCAAGGUUAUGAACCUAUCUAGCAUACAUGGGGUACAAUUUUCUUUGUAUAAAAGAUAGAACUACAUACCUUGUUGUUAAAGGUGUUCCUUGAAACCUUGUGAGCCUAGCACCUAAAGUGUGAUGCCACAAAUGCUUCACACAACACCAAAUGCAAAGAAUAAACUUGAUAGAAUACUCAAACACAUGUAAAAUCAGCCAAGCCCUCUUGUUUCUUAGUGUAGCCGGUUUUGGGGAGAGUUACAUUGCUUAUAUAGUGUGUGACAUUGGGUAAACCCUAAUGUUACAUGACUCUUCAUUUCUUGAUCCAUGGGUUAACUCCAUAUAUUUAAUUAGUUAUCUUUUGAUCACUUAAUUAAUUUUAAAUUAAUUCUUGAUCAAAACUAAUUAAAUAAUAUUAUUAAUAUAUUAGAACUUAUAAUAUAUUAAUAAACCAUAUGUCUUAUUUCUAUCAUUUAGUUUAUCCAAUUGCAUGGUGCCAUGCAACCCAAAUGGACCAUGCUGGGUCGGGUCAAGUACUUACUAGAAAUAGUUAUGGACUUAGACACCUUAUCCAACAGAAAUAGUGUCGACAAUUCCAGUCGUAGUGAUAACCAAGGAACCCAAUGGGUUCCUACCUACAAGGACACCCCAAACCCCAAACCUAAACACAUGAAAUGAAAGAUCAAGAUCGAAAAAGUGGGCAGUUCGACUCAAGGGCCUACCAAAAGGAAACAUGCGGUAGCAACCCCUACCCUCACUGGUUCUACUACCCCAACACCGACAUUACCAUAUUAUAGAGAAAUCUCCUACACUUCAGCAAGUGCAACUACCAUCACUACGGAAGCUGCCGGGAGUAGCGUUGUAAUAAGUGCAACAAGAAGGAACACACUGCUCGCGUCUGUAGGACUCUGACCCAACACAUCACUUCAACCACCAAUGUCGAAGAAAGACUAGUAUGCCAUGCAUGCAGAGCAACGAUAAGUUUCAAGAGAGAUUGUCCCACAGAGAGGAAUGACGGAGGAACAGGAGGAGUUUAACGAUAAGACAUGUCGAAGAAACGAGGAACCCUCUUGGGAUUUUUGGUACGUCUCCCAACAAUAAUAUUUACAGCUUAAAUUUUUACUAAGACCAGUACCAAUUAAAAAGUAAUUAAAUUGCUCCCUCAUCUGAAUAAAACACAUCAUUCAUAUAAAAACUAAGGAUCUUUACAGGUGAGCCAUGAUGGCUUAGUGUAUACCUUAGGGUGAUGCAUAGUUAAGAUUCUACAGGCUUAGAGUGAGUAAUUCCGACUUAUUUCCAGUUUCUUGUUUGAUUGUGGAUUUAGGGCAGAGUUACUCAGUCGACGGUCUUCUUAAUCUUCAUUAUAUAUGACUUGUAUACACCAAGCGAUUAUAGAGGGACCUUAUAGGGAUUGUAUUAUGAGAUUUUCGCAGUAGAAAUAAAAAGGAUAAACCUGAAAGCACUAGAAAGUACACAUAUAAUGCACUUUCACUCAAACAAACACUUCUUCCUAAUUGAAUUAACACCCAUUACGAUAAGAAGUUCUGAAAUCGUCAUUAGAAAUGAAUUGGCUUGGUCCUUAUCAUACCUAUUCCACGUGCUACCAAAUAGACCCUUCGUCUUAACAGACCGAUUAACAAAACCCUCGUUACUCAUAACGACAAACCCGACAUAGACCUCAAAAUCGUCUCUCGCUUCAAACCUCCGAAGUACUCAUGCGAGGAGUACCAUAUAUUCUGAAACCUUCCUGAAGUUUUCUCAAUAGACCUUUCGGGAACACCACUCGUACAGCAGGUCAAGUUCAAGCAUAGAGGCUAGGGAAAAAUACGGAUCACCUAUCACUACUAAGUGUAUACGCGAGGGUGGUAUAUAAUUAAGAUUCUAUGGACUUAAGAUGCAUGUUUUCCCCUAUCUCCUGUUCCUUUUUUGGUUGUGGACUUUGGGCAGAGUCACCCAUCCGAUCGUCUUAUAAAUCUUAAUUAUAUACGACUUGUAUGCGUGAGGUGAUGAUAGAUGGCCCAGGUAUGACUCUUACCAUGAACUUCAGGACGAAGCUACCCAGGACUACGAGUGAGCAUUCUACCAUUCAGAUGAGCAUAAACAAGUUAACCGAACCUAUACACUCCCUACCAAUCUAGACAACAGACACAAUAGUGAAGAUCCGUCGGAACGCCAAAUAAGGAAUAUAAUUCACUUGUGGACAAGAAGAUCAUAUGGAACAGAAGUACCCACCUCUCUCCCUGGUUCAUGAGUAACCAUUUUGGAUUCGAAUUUCGAGACGAAAUUCCCACUAACGGGGGAUGACGUCACAACUAGGAAAUUUUAGACCCAUCAGAGCCUAAACCCUAACCUAGUAUAAGUGAACCAACAUUCUAACUCAAAGAUCAUUCGUAAUCAUUUUGUUUCCGAGUUAGCACACACAUUCGAGGUGAGUUCAUACCCCUACGUUUUCACAAUUUUUAAAUUGUUUUAGGGGGGACUAUAAGUAAAACACAAGAAAUCUUGUGUUUAAAAAUAUAAAUUACUUAUUAUAUUUUCUUACCGUUAAUAUGCAUUUGAAUGUGAAAUUUACUAAACACGCCAAACAUCGUUACUAUUAAACUACAAAAUAUGUUUAGUCGCAAGGGUUUUUACAUCAAAGGAACAAAGGAACAAUUUUACAAACUUAUAAACUAUAAUGGAUGUAGUUUAUGGAACACAGUAAACUAUUUUACAAAUAUAAGGUUAAAUGCGGAAACAAACUUAUAAACUAUAAUAGGUAUAGUUUAUGGAACAAACGGACUAUUUUACAAAGUUAUAGGAUACUGACUAAAAGGUUUUUCACUUAUUACUCAUAAACUCGUUGAAGUAAUUUGUGAGACGCCUUCACGUACUUAUCUAAGAACCAACCAAGUCCAAACUUAUAACUAGAGGCUCCUCUAGGAAGAGCCUAAAUUUAUGUAUAGAUCUAUACGGGACUGACAAUCCCGCACCUUAACUGUUAGCUAUAGUUAGGCCGGCAGACCUAGGGUGACAAAUGUCGUAACAUUCCGACGCAUGAAGAACGUAGUUUCAGGCCAUCAUUAGGUCAUCAAGUAUGGUUAUAAGAACUCACAUGGAGAAAACAACGACUCAUUUAUGUAGUAAUAUACUUUUUAAGUAAUCUAAAAGGUUAUUAACAUCGCUUCUAAUUUGCAGAGGAAACAGAUUCUCAACUAGUUUUUAUCUUUGAAUAAAACUAGUUAUCAUCAAAUUAAGUAUGGCAUUUAUGCUUGUACCUUUCGGUCUUGGAACGUUUAAGACUACAACUUGGUUUCUAUGGAAAAUAUAGGAUUUCCAAGAUCAACAUCAUUAUUUUACAAGUAAACAAUUUGCAAUUUAAACUUUCUAAAAACAAAUACGAUUACUUAUCGAAAGCAAUGCUUUAUAGUAGAGCGGGUGCAACUAGGAACAUAUUUAAAAAAGAUUCAAUACUUAUUUAGGAGUCAUACCAAUUACAUAAAUCUAAACCUCGAAUCAUAGAUAAGAAACAUAAGAAACUAAUACUUUCAGGUCUUAAACUACUAAGACUAUAAGUUAUUUUAAAAGGAAAUAUUGCAUUUUCUGGGAGAACAUGUUAACAUUUUCAAAUAACAAAGAAUAUUCUUUUUACAACAAAAAUGCAUAUGAACUCACCAACAUUAAUGUUGACACUUUUCAAACCACUUGUAUUCUCAGUAAAGUUAGUAGACAGGUACCCUCUCAGGCGUUAUGAAGAUGGAGCUUAGUAGUAUUUCGUCUUAUCUUUUGCCAUAACUUUAAUGUCAAACAUGCAAUAUUUUAUACACAAUGUAAAUUAUAUAUUAUCAAUACAAUGGUUGUUGCUUUGAUUACUAUUUUACAAUCGUUGUGAUACUGUACAUGACGUCCUCCACCCCCGAAUGUUUCCGCCGUUCCAGUUUAGGAGUGUGACAGUUAGUAUCUGUUAUAUGUCGACAUAUGGUGUGGGUUGGGUUGAGGUUGUAUUACUCUGUGCGGUAGCCAAAAAAACCCUAGAGCGAUCCAGAUAUGACCAGAGGGUCGGGAAGGGCAUGCCAGAAUCAUACGGAGGGCUAAUGAGCAUCCCAGAUACGAGCUGAGGGUCGGGUAGGGUAUACCAGACUCGUACUAAGGGCUUGUUGGUAUUCAGUACGAGGACUAAUCUGGUCGGGAAGCAAGCUAGACAUAAGCUGUGGGCCUUGAGGGCAUGCCAGACUUAUGCUGUGGGCUUAGGGGUAAUCCAUUUUUUGUGUUGUGGACCUAUUGCAUGUUGUUAUUGUAUAUGUGCUAUUUGGCUGUGUGUUGGUACUUUGGGGGAAAUCACUAAGCUCCGUGCUUACCGUUUGGUUUAUGGUUUCAGGUAUCUCAGAGGACCAUGGCAAGGCGAUAACGUGACCAUAAACAUCCUUGGUUUUACAAUUGAAUGGAUCUUAGGAGAUUCCGAUUUUAAAUAAUGUUUUGGAAAUACUAAUUUUGUAAACAGUUUUAUUAGUAAAAGGGCCGUUUUGAAAAGUUUAAAUUUGUUGAAAUUUUUGGGAUGUCACAAGUUGGUAUUUGAGCCUUGGUUUGAGUGAAUUGGAGGAACACUCAUGGAAUCCAGUCUCAAACUAUGGAAAUAAAAAUAGUUAAAAAAUUAUUUUCAAAAUUGCUUUCUAAAUAAUCAAGAAAUGAUGUGAUGUGCACGAUCAACUGGAGCCAGUAAGUUUUCCCCAAGUUACCACAUUGUUAUUUGAUAUUAUGAUAUGUUAGAACUGCAUGCUAGUGAUAAGAUAAGGAUCUUUAGGAACUGCAUUAUAGAAUUUCCUGAUUAUAUGAUGCCUGAUAGCCUAGGAUCUUCCUUAUAUGAAAUUGACAUCAUUACUGUAGUUGCUUAGUUUGUGCAUCAUAGUUGUACAUAACAAAGAUUCUAUAGCAUGAGAAUGCUUGAUUUAGCUUUAUUUCUUAUUCUUAUCUAAUUAAGGGCUUAGACUAGAUUCGGGUAUUUGACUAUUUAUAGGAUCCAAUGUUAUGUAUGAUUAGCAUGCACAAGCAGCUGCAGGGUUGGUGGAAGUCUCAUGAGUGGGUGUGGUUCAUAUCAAGUUAGUGUGAGGAAUGAUUAGCCACUCUUGAGAGUGUGAGGGCAGGGCGAAGGUGCAUCUAAGAUGCUGGGAGCGACAAAUCGAGUGGUUUCCUAUGAGGGUCUGUCUGAUUUUAUUGUGUUUUACAGCCAUUCGGCUCCUCUACUCGAAUGUUGUUUGCUCUGUGCUUUGUGGUACACAUGUCGAUGUGAGUUAACCAUCAAAUGAAUACAUUAAAUUACAUGCUAUGAAGGUUAACUAAUCUUAGAAUGAUGGACUUAGAACUAUUGCGCAUCUAUUGUCUGAGUCCAACCGUUGUAGUGGUUCUUCAGUAGCUGAUGGAAGUGGAAGUUUGGGGGAGGGGAGAAGUCCUAGGAGAGCCUAGGAAGUAUUUUAACAUGGUUGUUUUAUUGUAGAGCAAGGUAUUGGGAGUAAUUUAUGGAUAGGUCGUAGAGGACCCAAGACGAUCCUUGAGGAAUGUAUGGAUAGGUGUGGAUGGUAGUAUAAGGCUCAUAAUACUGGAAGAAUAGGAUCCAUACUAAAAUUGAGGAGAGUUUCACGGACUCUAAGGGCUAGUCAGGGUGAUAGCAUGGUUGGAUACCAUGCUUCGUGGCAGUGGCUCCGAAUAUGUCAAUCUUUGGUUAUGGUUGCUUAGGCAUGAAAUCGGGUCUUGAAAUUAUUUUGGGGCCCUAGUAGUGAAAUCAAUUUUGGUUGUUUGGUGCAAAACUAGAUGAGGUUUUUGGUUUGAGGUCUCGAAGGUUUCACUCGAGGUCGUGUAUUCGAGUCGCGGGACUCAAAAAUGGAAUGAACAUUAUGAUCGACUUGGGGAUUGCAGUUGGGAGUAGAAUGGUUGAGUGAUGGUUUGGUAUAUCGAUAUCCAUGGUAGGGAUUCCCUCCUUUCUGUUUUGCGAGUUUGGGGAAGGAGUGAGCAGGCUUGUAACCUUCAGGGUCGGGAUGUCAGCCCAGCUUGGGGUCUGUUGGUCGCAGGGUUGGUGACAGUGUGUUAGUGUAGGAGUUCGCAGGUGGAUUGAUGUGUUAUGGGUGCUUUGUGAUGUAUUUAAGCGUCUGUGUUCUUGGGUUAUAGCGGGACAAGUAUCAGAUCAUCGGUGGGGAUCGUAGGCAAGGAGGGUACAUUUUGGAUCGUAAGUCGAUAGUUGCUUAUGCUUUUGGGUGAAAUCCUUAAUGAUAAGAGGUUAUGAUUGGAAAAUUUUCAAAUGCCUUCAGUUGAAACUCUGGAUUCUCUUAGGAUUGAUUGAUCUCUGUCUGGAAUGUCAGGUUGCAUGUGUUAUUCAUUCCAGGGUUAGAAAUGGUAGUACUUGCUCAAGCUGGUUUGAGUUAUGAUUUGGUUUCAACAUCAGUAGGUGGUGGUUCGAGCCAUAUGUGGGGGAGAACUGGGACUCUCAGGUUGAGUAUCAGUUAUUAAGGGAGUUGUCAGUUUGCAAUUUAGAUUGUUGUUUUCAUAUUAUUUUGGGAAGAUGUUGUUUGGUAAAUCGUUUCUAGAGAAGGGUAUGUUCAGUUCCGUGUGGGUUUUGAUUCUCUGGAUUAAGUGUCAAUGUGUCCUUGACCAUUGGUCGUUGAUUUCAUCAUUCAGCUGAGAUUCUCCAAGAGAUUGAAGUGGUGAUAGUUAAAGUUCAAGGAAUGUGUUAGCCUACCAUCAAGUUCAGUAUGUUUUAUGUUCCUUUGACCUCGGGGUAUGUUUACCCUCAUUGGGGGUGUGAAAUCUUGGUUAUAGAAGGCUUGGGUUUUUGGUAGCAUUCAGUAAGCCUUCAUGAGCUAUGUAUGCAUUAGUGGAAUCUGUUCAGCCUUAAUUAAGGUAUGCCGUUUAUUCUGAUAAUUCAUGGGGUUGUCUUCUGAUGGUGUUUGAGAGUUUUCGUCACUUUGGAACUCUGGUAUUUCUUCCUGGUUUGGUUGAGGUUAUGGGUUCCUUAGGAUGUGCAUUGUGGUAAAUUCAUGAUAUGUUUCCAAGAGGGGUGUUUAUGGGAUGUGGGCCUGGUAAUCAUGAUUGCUCAUUUCUCUUGCUUGUGGUACCUUCGGUAUUGGCCAUUUGAUGGAAGUCGGGAAAACUCUCAGCUUAGUUGGGUUUGAUAACGGGAACAACUAAGGGUUGUUGGGAGUAUCAGUCAGGUACCAGAAAGUAUAUGUGGAAUGUGUUUAUUAUAUUUUUGUUUGUUCACAAGCUGUUGUUAGGGUUGUGAUUUUCAUGUUGGGAAUUGGUUAUGAAGUCACGAAUCAUAAAGUUCCUUAUGAAUGUAUCGAGUGGUUUUUCCUGGUGGGGGUACACCUGAGUUGAUAGAGGUUGUAUGCAAUGUGGAAAUUCUUGAAUUGAUCAUCUUUACUCAUCGGAGCAGUGGUUGGUAAUGACAUGGUAGAGAGUCAAUGGGUAUUUAUGGUUUUGGUACAUCAUCUGGAUUUGGAUUUGGGAGAGGUUCGGGAUCGAUAUGUUUUGAGAAUCAUUUAUGCAUGUUUUGGUGGGGUCUCCAGUCAGGGACUGGGGUCGAUUCAUGGAUGGACGCUGAUCAGUCUUAGGGAAAAUUAUGAGAAAUUUUUAUGAGUGGCCAUUUUCGAGUUGGCUUUAGGUGGAAACUCAUGUUUGGAAUCGCGAGUGUAUUCAUGCAAGUUCUGCAUUUCAGUGAGAUGUAGGUUAAGAAAUCUAUAUGUCAAGGGCAUCAACUGGACGGUUCAGGGUAAAAGGGAUGUUUUCAGUUCAUAUGGUAGAAAAGGCUCUUGUGACUGUGCUUUGGAAUGGUUCUACCUAUGUGAAUGUCGGACAUGUUAUGUGGCUUCAGAAUUAUAGCAGCAGUGUAUCGGUCAAACAGUUAAGGAAAUCAGUAUCUUGUAGCUCAUUGUGUUCAUGAAAUUGUUCUCAUCAAGACGAACCAUCUCACGAAAGAAUACAUAAUCCGUUUUGGUCAAAUGAAUGGUUGUCGGCAGCAGCAGAUGGUCUGUGAUUCUAUUUACUAGUUGGGACCUUAGGUAAUUAGAAGUUGAGUAGAUAAUUUGAUGGAUAAAUAAAGUGGAGUUAGCAUUGGUUUAGUAUGGGCGGUCUGUUGGGGAGUCAGACCAUCAUCGGAUUCGUCCAUCAUCGGGUUGGAGAACCCUACUAGGGUUGGUUUCGGUUACCUUAGGAAGGCUGUGGUAUACUCGGGGUUGUGGCCAUGUAGCUCAAGUUUUUUGUCAUGAUGCAACUGUUAAGGACUGAUUUCGAGGACAAAAUCUAAUAUAAGUGGGGGAGAGUUGUAACGCCCUAUCCUGAAUCGUUUGCAUUUGGGUGUGGAUGACGUAAUUUAGAUGAUCUGGGUGCUCAGUUUGUGUUUUAGAGCCAAGGGGUAUUUUGGAAAAAUGUCAACUCAGCCUUUAUAGGAAAUUAGAUCCUUAUUCGGAAAAUUCUAAGGCGUGGAUGAGUGGAUAAAAGUGUAGAGCCUUUCGUUACCUCUUCAUGGAUUUAAGGAUCAUCGAUAUCGGGCUUAAAAUGAAGAAGUUAUAGUCUUCGAAAGAAAUUAGGGUUUAAGGAAAAACCAUAGUACACGGGGCGUACAUAGGUAUUACACGGGGUGUACUAGUGUAAAAGUUAUUACGCGAGGCGUCAUCUAGUGUACGCUUAGUGUACUGGGAAGGGUUGAACAGGAAUGCGAGGCCUCAUAUAUUGCGCGUACAAGGAGUACGCGAGGCGUACAAACAGAUUUAAUGAAAAACCUAAUUUCUGGGUUGGACGCUAUAUAAUCUUCUUUAUGGCUCAUAAAAUCCUCAUUUCUCAGCCUUCAUUGCCCUUAUAGCCACAUGUAUGAAACCUUAAGCCUCUCCUUUGUGUUUUGAGCUCAUUGUGUCUAUUUUGGGGUGUUUUGGUCCAUAUUCAAGAAGUAGAAGCUUGGUGCAAGGUGGGGUAUCAAGGAAGAGCUUGUGGACCUUGAUUAUCUGCUUUAUUUCCAGCUUGUUUGAGGUGAAAAGCUAUGAACUUGCUCAUUAAUGGCUUAGAUCUGUAUAUAUGAGUUUUGGUCCCUUUUGGCUCCAUGAAUGAGAUCUAAUGGUUUGGUACCACUCCAAGAGCUAUGAGUUGCCACUCUUAGUGUUUCUGAGGUUCAAGAUUCAUCAAGUUGACACAUUUAUGGUUUAGAAUCCCCCAUGCAUGAGAUUGUGUGCAUUUGGUGAAAGUAUAAUGCUAUACCUUGGAUUUGGGUUCUUUUGGGGCAUGCAAAGCCACCAAGUGAGUGACUUUAUGGCUCUAGAUGCUUAUUAAGACUCAGAUAUGUGGUUUAGACUUAUGGAUUUAAGCAUUAAGAGCUUAAUGUAGAGUUUGUCUUAAUGGGUGAGUACGAUGGGUGUACAAGUCUGUACGCGCAAUGUACAAGCCAAAUAGCGUGUACACUUAACGUACAGCUGAGUACGCUCCGCGUACUUAGCAUAGUGGGACUUAGAUCGUUGGGUUUGGUUUGGGCCUUUCUUAUGAGUAUUGAUGCCUUGGGCAUUGUUGGGCCAUUAGAAUUCACGUGUUUUUGGACUAGGAAUGUUUUGGACCUUGUUUUAAGUCCCAUAAGGAUUUAGGCCUUGGGUAAUUAAUGAGAUCUUGGGCUUUUGGAUUGUUCGCUUGGGACUGGAUUUAGGCCAAGUUAUGUGGAGGGUAAAAAGGUGUUUUACCCUACUUUGAACACUUAGUAUGGAUCGGAUCCAAUUAUUGAUGGACAUUUAAUUUGUGAUAGAUAGUGCGGGGACGCUUGUGGGCCAGCAGUUAGAGAUUCUUCUAUGAAAUUCGGCAGUGCAAGAUGAGUUUGCCGCAUUAUAUUUAUGAGUCGAAGGCACCAAGGUCAGCUCAUUGGUUUGAUAACCUGAUAUUCAUUGAUAUGAUUAGUACGAAAUUGAUAUGCUUGUUAGUUUUGGUAUGCUAGUUUGGUAUAUCAGUAGGACUACCUGUGAUACUGUCUGUAUAAUUAUCCAUAUAUGUUAGUAUUUUAUAUAUGUCAACAUAUGGUGUGGGUUGGGUUGUGGUUGUACUGCUCAGUGCGGUAACCAACAAACCCUGGAGCAAUCCAGAUAUGAGUUGAGGGUCUGGUAGGGAAUGCUAAACUCAUAUUGAGGGCUCAUGAGCAUUCUAGAUAUGAGCUGAGGGUCGGGUAGGGUAUUUCAGACUCGUAGUGAGGGCUUGGUGGUAUUCAAUCUGAGGACUGAUCUGGUCUGGGAGCAAGCCAAACCUAAGCUGUGGGCCCCGAGGGCAUGCCACACUUAUGUUGUAGGCUCAGGGGUAAUCCAGUCUUUUAGAUGUUAUUGUAUAUGUGUUGUUUGUUCUGUGUUGGUACUUUGAGGGAACUCACUAAGGUUCGUGCUUAUAGUUUGGUUUAUGGUUUUAGGUGUCUCGGAGGACCGUGGCAAGGCGAUGGCGUGACCGUACACAUCCUUAGUUUUACUGCUGAGUGGAUCUUGGGAGACUCUGAUUUUAAAUAAUGUUUUGGAAAUACUAAUAUUGUAAACACUUUUAUUAGUAAAAGGGCCAUUUUGUGAAGUUUAAAUUUGUUGAGAUUUUUUGGAUGUUACAUACAUAAUUGUUGAUGAACAUUUAAAACUCAUUUUUGGCUCGAAUCUAGUUUCGUGUUAAGACACCAGAGUUUGGAUCACCAAGAAUCUGUUCUUUCGGAUGAUCUCUUGUCCACUUUUCCAUCGUUGUAUAUGCACGAUCAAAGUUGUGAUCAUGACUCGAUCCACAUGGCUCCCCCUCAACCAAUGGAUUUGUGGUGUGAUGCUCCCCCUCGACAUCCGCAUGGUUAGGCAAUUGCUCCCCCUCAACAUCAACAUUGUGAGGCAUGUGCUCCCCCUCAACAUCAUAAUCUUGUCUUUCGUUGUGAGGCAUGGAAAUCAAGUGCUCCCCCUCCACUUGUUCAUCAGUCAAAUUUGCAUUCUUUCGAUAUUAACUCUCGAGGUUGAUGAAGAAUGAGCAUCAUUUUCUUCAAUUGAAAUUGUCGAAUCAUCGUAAUAUUUAGAUUCUUUUGGGAUUCCAUUAUCUUCAACAUUUAUUUCAACAUUGAUAGCCCUAUUAGGAAUGUCAAAAAUUAGAUCAAGAUCAAUAUCAAAACAAUUCAUUUGCUUAUAUUCAACAUUUGAUUAAUCAAUAAUUGGUUUUUCAAUGAAUGAUUGUUCGACUCUCUUGACAUAAUGAUCAUCAAAUGUGAGAUUGAAUAUUUAUAUUAGCUUCCUUGUUCACUUUUUCAACACUCUAUAGGCUACAAAUUUUUGUGAAUAUCCCAAGAAAAAUCCUUCAUCAGCUUUCAACUAAAAUUUGGAAAGAUUUUCCUUGAUAUACAUGAUGAAACAUUUGCAUCCAAAAACAUGGAAAAAUUUGACAUUAGGUUUCCUUUUGUUUAUAAUUUAAUAAGAUGUUAUGUUAAAAUAAUGAUAUAUGAAUGAACGAUUUUGCAUAAUGCAAGCAGUCGGAACUGCCUCUACCCAAACGUAUUGUGGCAAGUUUGCAUAAGUGAGCAUCGUUCUUGCCGCUUCACACAAGGAACGAUUCCUCCAUUCAACAUCAUUUUGUUGUGGUGUGUAUAGGGAUGGAAAAUUUUGAGACAUGCCCAGUUCAGUCUAAAAUUCGAUUUUUGAACUUCAUUCUAUUAUCACUAUUUAUCUUUUGAACUUUCCUUUUAAGCUCAAUUCUAUGUUCUUGAUAAAAUCAAUCAUCACUUGAGCAGUUUCAAACUUUUUUCGAAGAAAGAAAACCUAAGUAAACCUUGAAAAAUCAUCAACAAUAACUACUAUGUAUUUCUUUUUAUUGAGGGACUCAACAAUUGAAUGUCCAUACAAGUCAAUAUGAAGAAGUUCCAAAGGGUCAAUGAUUUUUGAAUCAAUUAUGAUCGGAUGACCUUGACGAAGUUGUUUUCCUUGUUCACAUGCAACAUACAACGAUCAUUGUCAAAUUUUAAAACAUGAAAACCACAAACAAGAUCAUUGAGAAUAAGUUUAUUUAAAAUUUAGAAAUUGAGAUGAGAAAGACAUCGACGCCAUAACCAGAUGAGAUCGAAAGAUGAUUUCGAUAGUAAACACACCGAGGGAAUGCCCACAAUUGGUUUCAGGUUAAGAGUAAACAUGUCUCCCUUUCAUUUUGACUUUGGCAUACUCUCCUUUGUUUCCUUGUUUGAGAUAAUACUUCCUUCCUUAUCAGAAAGAACAUGGUCACAUGUUCCAACAACUAGUUGUGAAACACUAACCAAAAUGUGCUUUAAACCUUCAACAUAAGUGACUUGAUUCACUUUGAAUUUUCCAUUCAUCACUUUUCCAUAACCUUUGACUUUACAUUUCUGAUUGUUUCCAAACUUGAUGACUCCAACAUUAUCAACUUUCAAAAAUCUCUCAAAUUUUCCUUCCUCCCAGUCACGUGGCGUGAGCAUCCACUAUCGAUGUACCACUUUUCAUCAUUUUUGCUCAUCACAUAGUAUAUACGAUCAGUUGGAAGAGUUUAGAUCGCCAAGACCUUUUGGGUCCUUGGACAUUACUUUGAAACACAAUGUGCAAUGAAGAACCUAAAACCCAAUUACGAACUUUCAAUUUGAAAUUGUCAAUUAAGUUAAUGUCGUUAGCUUUAAGCAUUGAAAUAUAAUCAUACAAUGGGGAAAGUUUAACUUUGAUUUUCUCUUUUUCAUCCAUUUUCAGAGAAAGAUGAAUUUUCUUCUUUGGAAUUUCUUUCUACGGUGUAGAUUCUUGAGAUGAAGUACUUUCAUUCAUUGAAUCAUUCAAGUACUUCUUGUAAGAAUUUUGUAUUUGCUUUUGAUAAUACUUUCGUGAUUGAUAUUGUUUUCCUUUUCCUUCAAGACAAUGAUUGUUGUUCCUAACAUCACUUCUACCUUUUGUUAAUGACGUUUUCAUCUUCUGUUUCGAAUUAGGAUUUGGAAAAUUUGGGUUGGUAGGUUUAAAAGGAUCAAUCUUCCUUCCUUUAACCUCCAAUUUUUCGAAUUCUCUUUUUGGAAAAUGAUCUUUCUGAAAGAUUUAGAAAUGGAUUUUGAUACCGGUUUUGAUAACCAACACUAUUUUGUUGAAAAACUUUUCAAUUUUGACCAUAACUCCUUUGUCCAAGACUUUGACCAAAACUCUUUUGUUCACUAUUUUCAUCAAAACUCCAAUGUGCAUGAUUUUGAGCAAAACUUCUUUUUCCAUUUCUUUGUAAACCAUUUUGCCGAAAGUUAUUUUGGACAAAGUUUAGACUCCUUUGAAAAUCAUUUUGUUUUUGAAAAUUUUUAUUUUGAAAAUUAUUUUCAUUUUUUGAAAACUGCUUUGAUGUUUUAGGAUAUUAUUGUUUAUAAACUUUUUGUUGGUGAAAACCUUUUUUAUUUUUAUAAUAUGCUUUAUUUUGUGCUUUUGAUUUUGAAAUUUCUUCAUUAAAAGCCAAAUUUUCUACUUCUCUUUUGAAAGUUUGUGGUUUCACCUUUUGAUGUUUAGGAUCAUUAGGCAAAGAAUCAACACAUUUUCUUUGUUUUUCUUUUAUCAACAACUGAUUUUUCUGUUUUCAUAGCCCAAACUCGUUUUGUUUUAGUUUGUUGUUGAAUUUUUUUUUGAGUUUUUGUUCAAACCAUUUUCGACGGUGUUUUGAUAUGAAUAAGAUCCUUCUUUCAUCACACUCACAUUAUCUUCAUUUAACAACUUGUUCAAUUUAGGAGCCACAUUGUCACCAUUUCCUUUCGUAACAAAGACUUGAUUUGGAAACACAACUUCUUCUAAAUCCUUGAACCUUGGAUAAACAACUACAUUUGAUUCAAGAUAAUGUUUUCCUUUGUCUUUCAAUACUUUCGUGUACUCCUUUGAGGCUUCAAAGAAUAGAUAUACCACAUCUCUUGAAAUUGUUUUCUCUUUCGAAACUUCAUCCUCAUCACUCACAUAAUCCUCAACCACAAUAUAAUCAUGAGGAUCACAGGUUUUGGAUGUCAAAGUUUGAUCAUUGUUUAAUUUCAACAUUGAAUCAUUACAUUAUUUACCUUUAGCCAUUGAGUUGACAUUAAUGACAAAUAAUUCCGAGCAAUCGACACAUUCAUCUUCCUCAACUUCACUAAUAUUGUCAAAUUUAUCUUCGAUAUCAGCAAAAUUUUGUUGAGAACCAAGUGUCGACUUCUCAGUCUUGUUCAAAAUCAAGAAUUGUUCAAUUUUUGCUAAGGUCUUAUUCACAAUAUUCACAAGAUCAACAACAUUGUGACAUUCAUUAAUAUUUACAAUACCAUAUGCAUAAGAAUCACUUGGAAUUUUAUCAUAAUAUGCUAUCUUGCUUUCUAUAGUUGUUACGUAAUCAGGUAUGAAUUAUAGAAUCAGAAUAAUAUGAAAAGGAUGAACACUAGAUUAAAUAAUGUCUGUUUGGGUCGAUUAUGCUUUCAAUGAGUACAAAGUGUUUUAGACAAUUACAUGAAAGUUCUUAUGUAACUCUAGUACCGAACACCUAUUUAUAGGGAACUAGAAAGCACACAAAAAAUAUAAGGGACUAGACUUGAAAAGCUUCGACACUAAAGUACCCUUAUAAUAACAUUACAUAUUAACGAAACUAUCCCUUGACCUUCGACACUUCACAACUAAUUUCGACAUCAACAUUCUCCCCCUUUGUGAGAAGUGGCAAACCUAGGUCAUUAGUAUCUGGAUAGCUUGAUGCAUCGAUCUCCGAAUCUUUUCAUACCAAUUCAUCACCUUCUUCAAUUCAGCCUUAUAUCCAUCAUUGUUCUUCUUACAGUUAUUCAUACGAACAAUCAAGUUCAUAUAUUGUGCAUUAAUAUACCUUUCGAAAGCACAUGCUUGGAACAAAAACUUCGUCUUCAUUCCCUUCUUGUUUUUACCGAAAAAGAUUAUCCCAAGAGGCUUCAGACAAAUCUCUCCAUCAUCAUAAGGCUUCAAGUCAGCUUGAGUCUUUAAUAAUGAUAAAGGUACAGUAAUCUAUUUACCCAUUGUCAAUGCUAAUUUGACAUCUGUCAAGGCUAAACAAUCGAAAUAAUUGUCGAUGAAAAGAUUGGUAUGAGCAAAACCCAGCUGAUAAUCUUCUUUGCGUGUACCUUGAAGCUUUGUUUCAUCACUGACUUUAAGAAUCAUCAUGACAGAGAUAAAUUCAUUCAGAUUCAUAAGACGGAAAUCGAUAAUAGAUAAGUUGAAGGUGGUAUUGUUUGCUCUGACCACAUGAUAUCGAAAAGUUUGAAGUACAUCCUCAAAUAGAACAUCUUUGGAAAUACACAAAACUCGAACUAUCUUGACAAGUGACCAAACUUCUUCUUCUUCUUUCCCAAUUACAACAUGAAAUUGUAUCUUUAGUCUCUUGUACUCUUUAUCAUCUUCAAAAUUGUCAACAAUCUGAUAAUGAGAAGUAAUAAACAUCAUCUUGUUGAUAGGAAAGUCCAACUUAUUCAUGUCCGAAUUCUUAGUUGCAUAACUCUUCUUCGGUUCUUAUCAAAGUCAUGCAUUUCAUCAUAUACUACCAUAGCUUCAAUGCCCUCAUAGUUAUGUACUUUCCUUGGAUCACCUUUGUUCAAUGUUGGUGAAUCAUUUUGACGAAGCAUAAGAAUGCUUUGAAUUUAUCGUUUCUUUUCAAUUUCAGCUUCAAUAGCUGCUUUUGUUUCUUCCUUCGUCUAUUCAAUACUAACACCUUUUCCUUCCCUCUAUCAAUUUCAGUAGGCUUAGGUUUCGAAGAAGAGGCACAACCACCAAUUACAAUCCCUUUUACCAAAGGUCUUGUUGUUUGUCACACCCCCAAACCAAGGAUGGCGGAAACGUCCGGGGGUGGAGGACUUCAUGUAGAGUAUCACAACAACGUGUAUAAUAGUGCUCAAAGUAAAUACAACCAUCAUAAAUAUAAUUGAAAAAGUUACACCAAAGUAUAUGUUUACAUGAUUCGAAUCAAUUACAUUAUGAAACAAAAUGAACUGUUUGACGAUUUAUCGUCCCAUCCUCAAAACGUUGUUGAUUUCCUGUUUUCACUGAAUUCCUGAGAAUACAAGUAGUUUUGAAAAAGUGUCAACACAAAGGUUGGUGAGUUCAUAAGCUUUUGACAGUAAGAGUUUGAAAAUCGAUCUUUGUAAAGAGAUGUAUGAUACUAAGAAAAAUCCAAUAUUUUCCUUACAAAAGUUAUGUAGUCCUAAAUACCAGGANUUAGCGAUUUCCUGAGAAUACAAGUAGUUUGAAAAAGUGUCAACACAAUGGUUGGUGAGUUCAUAAGUUUUUGUAUAUAAUUAUGAAAAGCUUGACAAGAAAUUGUAUAAUUGUUCCAGGAAAUCCGAUAUAUUCUUACAAAGUUAUGUAGUCCUAAAUACUAGGACAUAAGGUAUACAAUAAAGUGUGUAAUUGUUGAUGUAAAAAAAAGUGGUUUUUAAAAUCGACAUAAAACCCUUUUUGAUAUGAAGGCGUAUAAGUAUUCUUCCAUACUUAAAGUAAUUUCAGUGAGCUAAAUGGACAUGACUCGCUAAUUUAAAGUUAGAACCCGUAAAUCUUAUGAUUGUUAAUACCACAUGUGAGCUAUUAUAACCAUACUUGACUUGGGUGGCCUCGUAAUGCGACGUUCUUCAGGCGUCGCCGUUAAAUGACACUUGUCACCACAGACCUGCCGGUCUAGCUGUAGCGAGCAGCUCUGGUGUGGGUUUGUCAAACCCAAUAUAGAUCUAUACACAACUAUCACGUUCUCCUUACAAGAGACUCUGGUUACAAUUUACAGGACUUUUUGGUUUUGUUACUUUGGAAGUAACCCGAAGGGAAUGACUCACAAAUUUAUUCAUUAACAGAUUUACGUGAACUAAACGGAAAACUUUCGAUAAAUAAGUUUGAGAAGUAAUGAUACAUAAACUAUACCUAUUAUAGUUUAUCCAAAAUGUUUGUAAUAUGUGAGAAUUUUUUUUAUAAAUGCUUUAUUGUGAUAAAUUCAUAAACUAUGCUCAUUAUAGUUUAAUAUUCUUGUUCCAAAUAAAUGAAUAAUCUUAUCACAAAUGCCUAUACUUCAGUUAUGAUGAUAAACUAACAAGGUAACACAUUCAAUAUGUAGAACUUGACAUUAUACACUUUGCUCAACAUAAUACAAAAUGUUAUAAAAAUUAUAAGCUGUUAACCAAUUUUCAGCCUUUCUACACUGUUUUUGAAAAUUCCUAGAAAAAUCAUACGAAGUCGAAAACUAAAUCCGUAAAUUCUGGGAGUUCCCAAAAUGUUUCUAGUUUACUCAUAAUUUUUAUCAUGAUUUUUAAUGACCUGCAACUUAGGUGAAAAAGUCCAUAAUCACAGUCUGGUCCGGAUUGGUGUUUGAAAUGAUAGGCAGUUUUGUAAAAAUCACCAUAAAUUGUAGAAAAAUCGUAUGGAGGUGUGCAAGUAGUCAUUUUAAAGCUAAGAAGUGGAACUACAUGCACCUAAAACAGUUUUGAAAACUAAAGUGUUGAAGAUGUCUAAAACAGUCCGUGAAUGGAGUCCAACUUUUCUGAUGAAAGCUGUUAGAAGAAUUUAGUUAUGUUCUUGGUGUUUUAACUUGUAUUCCCCCCGCCCCCCUAAAAACUUGUGGAAACAUGAUAAUGUAGGGGUAUGAACUCACCUUGUGUGAUUUCAGUAGAUAAGUGUUGAAGAAGAGAACUCACCUUGUGAAAACAUGCUAUGCUAGUGACCGGUUAGGUCUGUAUCCUGGUGAGGAUGAUGUUAUGUUAUGUGAUCUGCUAGAUCGGUUUGGUUGGAUGCGUAUUGUUAUAUGAUUGUAUAUUUAUGUGCACAUGGUUGUUGGGCUGGAGUUCGGUUGAGGCAGGUCCUGCUUUGUGCUGUAGGCCAACAUACCCAGGGCAGACCGGUUAUCCCGUAGGCCCAGCGAGCGGUCCGGAUAGGCUGUAGGCCCCACGAGGGCGGACCAGACGUGCCGAGGCUCGAAGAGUGGACCAGGCCGAUUGAAGGCCCGGUGCGGGCGGACCAGUCAUAUUGUAGGCUCAGAGAGUGUACCAGGUGGAUUGAAGGCCCGGUGCGGGCGGACCAAUCACACUGUAGACUCGAUGUAUAUGGCUAGACUCGGAGGGUGGACCAGGUGGACUGUAGGCCGGUACGGUGGACCAGUCACACAGUAGACCCAAAGUGCAUAGCUGUUCUAUAUCGAUUAUAUGAUGUGGUUAUGUUUGUAUGGCGUUGGUAUUUGGGGGUAUCUCACUAAGCUUUCGGGCUUACAGUUAUGGUUUAAAUGUUUCAGGUACUUCAAGAGAUCGUGGCAAGGCAAAGGCAUGAGCGUACCGCUCCUCGAGUUUUUAUGUGUUUACGUUGUGGUUUCUGGGAAAUACUCUAAUAAUAAAUUUAUUGAAAACCUUCUUGUAAUAACUUUAUGAAAUUAGGUUGUUUUUGAAAAGUUUAAAUUGGUUGGAAUUUUUAGAGUGCUACAAAUUGGUAUCAGAGCCUUGGUUUGAGUGAAUUGGAGGAACAAUCGUGUGAAUCCAGUCUCAAAUCAAGGAGAGUUUUCAAAAGAGAAUUUAAAAAGGGUUUUCAAAAAUAAGUAAAGGAGGACGCAGAGGUACGAUCAGCUGGAGCCUGUAAGUAAUCCCAAAAUACCAUACAAGUUAUUUGUUUAUGACAUAUGAUAGUACAGCAUGCUAGUACUAGGCUAGGGAUCUUGAGGAAUUGCAUGAUAGAGUUGCCUGAUUUAUGAUGCCUGCUAGCCUAGGGUUUCCUUCUGUAUGAGAUUUCCAGUGUUCCUCUAGGAGUGAGGUUGAGUGCUUGUUAUGCCUGUUCUUCACUAGGGUGUUGUGGUGAUACUUGAUAUAAAUAUGGGUAGGUUUGGAAGGUAGUAUGGGCCUAUACUACUGAAAGCACAGGACCCAUACGCAUAUCAAGGAAGUCACAAACCCUAGGGUUGGGUCGAGAGUCAGUUCUUGGGUUAGUCAGAAGCGUUGGAUGUUUUGCGGUAAUUUCCGUAUAAUUGUUAUGAGGCAUGCUGAGAGUGGAUCUAGGUCAGGAUCGAGAGUAGGAGGAGGCGGUCAGGGUGGGUCUGCACCACCCGAGGUUAUUGGUUAGAUGAGCACAGACGAGUUGGAUGCUAGGAUUCGUGAGAUCCUGCAUGAUGAGGUUGUUGCUAUGGUCCGAGCCGAGUUGCCGAAACUGUUUGGGUCGAUCAAGACCGCCAUGGUUGAGUAUUUUGAUGAGCGCUAUGCAGCUCUUACAGAGACGGCAGCCGUGGCGGCUACAACAGCUUUAGCAGCGGCAGGGGGAGGAGCCGGUAGAGGUUUUCAGUAUCGGUACUUUGAUAAUACGAAGCCCCCUACCUUCGAUGGAGUUUGGGACCCGAUUGUUGUUAUAAGAUCGUUGUCAGACGUGGAGGGGUGUUUCUUCACGUGUUCAUACCCUGCUGAUUAGAGGGUGAGGUGUGCUCUGAACCUUUUGAGGCUCGGGGCGAAGGAUUGGUGGAGGUUGACCACGGGAUCGUAUACUGAUGUGCAACGAGCUGCGAUUUUGUGGGAUCAGUUCAGGAAGAUGUUUAUUACUCACUAUGUUCCGCGAGUUGAGAGGGAAAGAUUGGCUCAGGAGUUCCUGGAGCUGAAGCAGGAUUCAGAGUCGGUGACGGAGAUCACCAGGAUGUUCACAGAGAGGGCGAUGUUUUGCCCGGAGUUUGCUUCGGAGCAGGAUCUGAUGUCCCAAUAUCUGAGUAUGCUCAAGAGGGAUAUCAGGCAGUUUGUGUCCACAUAGUGGUGCGAGACCUUGCUAGAGUUGCAAGAGGCCGCUCGGCGGCGUGAGUUGGAGAUUGAGUUACAGUUGAGAGAACAGAGGCAGACCCCAACACAAUCGAAGCCGGCGCCGAAACGGUCCAAGACCAUUGAUUCAAGGUUGGGAGAUCAGAGAAACCGCACUUGUGGGAAAUGCGGGAGGGGCCACACUGGAGUUUGUAGGUCCGGUGGUGCAUGUCGCAAGUGCGGAAGGGAGGGGCAUUAUGCGAGGGACUGUCGGCAGACAGCCCCGGUUCAGGAUUUGAGGAUUUGCUAUCAUUGCCAUCAGGUUGGACACUUGAGGGUCAACUGUCCAGAGCUUGCUACAGGACCGGUGCACGCUCCAGCAUCGGCCACUUUGAGGAUUACGGGUGGAGGUCAAGGUGGAGCGGAGCCCCUGAGAGCUCAGGGUCGUGCUUUUUAGCUUACGGCAGAGGAGGUCAGGGCAGUGCCGGAUGCAGCUGCGGGUGUGUUUCCUUCUUGAUAUUUUUUUUAUCUUGUGAUUAUUAUCGAGUAUUGUAUAUCUGCUAGUCUCGUUGUGUGAUUUUGGUAUUGUAUUCGUUGUUGCUGAGGGUUAUGGUUCGGUUAAGGGUUUUGGUAUUGGGAGUUUCAUUGGUUAUCAUCCAUAGGGAUUAUUAGUGGGAAAUCAGGCUUUUAGCCUGAAUGUCGGGUGGCAUCUGCAGUCUGAGGAGUGGUUAGCCGAAGGUCGGGCUUCUUUCGAGUUCGAGAUAAUUAGUGUUGAUAUGUGAUUUGGUGAAGGUUGCUCGCUCUAGUGUGAAUCAGUUCGCGUGUAAGGGAAUGUGUUGUGAAGGGUUGUUAAGGAAUGUCGGUUAUGGCGACCAGUGGUGGAUAGUCAGUGCUCUAAGUGGGGAGAAUUGGAAAAUUCUCAGGAGGAUCGAUAAACGUUAGAGUUCGAUUAGCUGUUUGGGAUCUAACAGUGUUUCAGUCAGCCAAGAGUGUGGGCUGGUAUGAGUAAGUGAUAGUUCGAUGGGGCGGAAUACAGACCAAGGAUUUCGGAUAGGGUGAUUGGUGGUUGUAAGGCCUAGGAUCAGACCGGGAUAGGAGUAUAUGGAAUGGAGUUAGAGUUCGGAACCCCUAGAGUAUAUGGAGACUGAAGGCCAGAAGGUGUACCAGUCAGGCUGAAGGCCCUGGAGGGUGGUCCAGACAUGCUGAAGGUUCUGAGAGUGGUCCAGAGUGGCUGAAGGCCUGGUAAGGUGGUCCAGUCAUGCUGAAGACUUUGCAUGUGUUGAUAGAUCUGUAUGAGGACAUGGAAUGAGUGUGUUGCGAUGUGAUAGCAUCAGAAGGUCUGGGCACGGGUAUUGGUCAUGAUUAGUGGAAGGUAGUGCAUGGACUCGAGAGUCCUUGCGAGCAGAUUUAGAGCAUGUGUGGUGCAUGGGAUAGCGGUUAUGCUAUAAGGGAAUAAUGUAGAGUGGAGUGUGUACACCGUGGCACUUGUUGUAGUGACAAGGUGGCCAAGUAGAUUUCCUUGGAUAAGGAAAGGGAAAGGUAUGUAGCUCCGAGAGGGAGUGUAAGUUCACAGAAUUGAAAUCAGUAGCGCGGGGGUAUGAUUGAGGUGUUCCAAUUAUGGUUUUGAGCAGAGUGUUUGCGCAGGUGGUAUGAAGCACAUCCGGGUUGGAUGUCUGCUGAGACUAGAAGUGAAUUCGAUAGAAGUUAUGCUAGUCAACGAAAGGGAUAACAGUUUGGUACCGGGUCAGGACCUGGAGGUUUGGGGGAUGUCUAGUUGUGUAAGGGUCAAACAAUCAUUGUGACUUGAGGCGAGUGACGUAUCUUGGAAUGGUACUCGGUUGAUAAGUGUGGUUAUCAGAGGAUUAGGCGGUGGUCAGGACACCGCAGGGGAAGAGUUAGGUUUUGGAUUCAUGUGGUUGUGUUUUGAGGAACCUGGUCUGGUUAAUGCCAGGUGGUGCGUUUCGAGAGUAGUUUAUGGAUUUGUGUUGCUGCAGGCUUCGAGGAUGAAGCCAAAUUUAAGUAGGGGAGAAUUGUAACAUCCCGAGUUCAGGAGUGCAAGUUCAGGGUUCAAAGUGAAAAUGUGAAUGGUCAACUCGGCGAGUCCAUGGGUGGACUCGGCGAAUAGGGUCACAAUUCUGGUCGCGUGUUAAGCGGCCAACUCAGCGAGUCGGUGGCUGGAAUCGGCGAGUUGGUGUUGUGUGGGGAAAACCCUAAUCCCAGGGAUUGAGCCUUAUAUAAAGAACAUAGUACCCUCUCCCCAGCCUCUUUGUUCCCCUUGAUGUCCAGAAAACCUAAUUUUUCGUGUGUGAGAGAAUUAGAGAGAAUUUGGGUCUUGACGGAGUGUUGGUUGAAGAAAUCUUUUAAGAUUAAGAGGUUUGGAGCAAGGGGCUUUGCAAGGUUUUGGCUUAUUCUUCUGUUGGAGUCUUCUUUGGAGGUAAGGAUUCAUUUCUUGAGCUGUUAUCCAUCUAGAUCUAUCAUUUGUGGGAUUUUUGGGAAUUUAUCUAGUGCUAUCUUAAGUUUGGAGGUUGGAUCUGAGGUUGCUACCACAGAUCUAGAGUAGUAAUGUUCCAAAAGAGCAUAAAGUCCCUUUUCAAGAGCUGUUGAUGAAGCCUUUUAGUCCCAAGCCUUAGCCAAGAGUGUAUUACGCUUAGAUCUCCUUGGAUUCACGUAAAGUUUGCUACUUUACGUGAUGGAUGGCUUGUAUAAGAGUAGAUCUAUGGAUUUGAGACCCUGCAUGGCUUGGAAAGCCUCUGUAUGAGCUAAGAACUAGUGGUACUCGGCGAGUCACAUGAAGAUGGGCAGCUAUUCGACGAGUUGGAAGAACAACUCGACGAGUUGGUUGAAGAUAGCCUUGGACUCAGCGAGUCUGUUCUUGGACUCGGCGAGGCUGGUUGUGAGGUCCUAACCUUUUCUGGUUAAGCUGUGAAUCGGUGAGUCAAGGGAUGACUUAGUGAGUUGAGUACGGUUAGACUCAGAGUUGUGGGACUCGGCGAGUCUUGGGGCGACUCGGCGAGUUGAGUCGUGUUAUGGGAGUUUCAGAGCAUGGGGACUCGACGAGUCAGCGGGUUGACUCAGCGAGUAGAGUCAGUCAGGAGGGUUGACUUUGACCGAGGACUUUGACUUUAACCAAGAGUUGACCAAUUGACUUCUAGGGGUAUUUUGGUAAUUAUGGGUAUUUAAUGAGUUCGGUCUUUUGGUAUUGAUCAGUGGUGGAGUUCAUGUCGGAGGUUGGAGCAGCGUGAUCUUAUCCUUUUCAGUCAGUAGUUGCGAGGUGAGUUAUCCUCACUACAUCAACAGGGUCAAGGCACCAAGGCCGGCCCUUUAUCGGAUUUUAAUCCGGGUGUUGUUGUUAUAUUAUUGCUUUGCUAUGUUUACAUCCUGGUAGUUAGGAUGGUAUAUGUUAAAGACCUGGUUAAGGUCGGUAUCUUGGUAUAUAGGAUGAUGCUAUGCGAGUGACCAGUUAGGUUGGUAUCCUGGUUAGGAUGAUGUUAUGUUAUGUGAUCUGCUAGAUCGGUUUGGUUGGAUGCGUAUUGUUAUAUGAUUGUAUAUUUAUGUGCACAUGGUUGUUGGGCUGGAGUUGGGUUGAGGCGGGUCCUACUUUGUGCUGUAGGCCAACUUAUCCAGGGUGGGCAGGUUAUCCCGCAGGCCCAAUGAGUGGUCCGGAUAGGCUGUAGGCCCCACGAGGGCGGACCAGACGUGCCGAGGCUCGGAGAGUGGACCAGGCCGACUGAAGGCCCGGUGCGGGCGGACCAGUCAUAUUGUAGACUCAGAGAGUGGACCAGGUGGAUUGAAGGCCCGGUGCGGGCGGACCAAUCACACUGCAUACUCGAUGUAUAUGGCUAGACUCGGAGGGUGGACCAGGUGGACUGUAGGCUGGUGCGGCGGACCAGUCACACAGUAGACCUGAAGUCCAUGGUUGUUCUGUAUCGAUUAUAUGAUAUGGUUAUGUUUGUAUGGCGUUGGUAUUUGGGGGUAUCUCACUAAGCUUUCGGGCUUACAGUUGUGGUUUAAAUGUUUUAGGUACUUCAGGAGACCGUGGCAAGGCAAAGGCAUGAUCAUAUCGCUCCUCGAGUUUUUAUGUGUUUACGAUGUGGUUUUCUGGGAAAUAAUCUGAUAAUAAAUGUAUUGAAAUUUUUUUUGUAAUAACUUUAUGAAAUUGGGUUGUUUUUGAAAAGUUUAAAUUGGUUGGAAUUUUUAGAGUGUUACAAGUCGUGCCUUAUAAGUGUGUACAUUACCAUCCAUGUCGGUCUUCUUCUUGAAGAUCCAUUUUCACCCAACUAUCUUACGAUCAGGUACAUUGUCAACCAAGUUCCAAACUCGAUUGUCAUACAUGGACUAUAUCUCGCUAUACAUAGCCUCUUUCCAUUUAGCAGCCUCAGGGCCUGCCAUGGCUUCGGUGUAGCUGUUAGGCUCAUCCUGAUUUACCAGUGUGUUAUCACUUAUAAGUGUCUCACCUUCUGCAGUAAUAUGGAAACCAUAAUAAUGCUCAGGUGCAUUUCUAACUAUGGUGGAACGCCUCAGAGGUAUAGAUUCUUCAGUCGGCUCAACAGGAUUUUCCUCCUCAAGUUGAGGGAUAGGGUUUGAGGUUCCUUCACCACUUGACUCUUGAAUUUCCUCAAAGUCAAUUUGCCUCCCACUGUCUCCUUGGCUCAUGAAUUCUCUCUCUCGGAAUAAUCCUCUUCUUGCUACAAAGACCACAUUAUCACUGGGUCUAUAGAAGAUGUAGCCAAAGGAUUUCUAUGGAUUGCCGAUGAAAAUACACCUUUCGCUUCGGGGUUCGAGCUUAUCGUGGGUCUCGCGUCUAACGAAAGCCUCACAACCCCAAAUCUUGAUGUAGUCUAGAUUGGGAACUUUUCCAGUCCACAUGUCGUGAGGUAUUUUGGCAACCUUCUUUGUAGGGACUAGAUUAAGGAUAUGGCCAGCAAUCUCUAAGGCAUACCCCCAAAAUGAGAUUGCUAGCAAAGCUCGACUCAUCAUGGAACGAACCAUGUCCAACUAGGUCCGAUUGCGCCUCUCAGCUACACCAUUCAACUGUGGUGUCCUAGGAGGUGUCAAUUGUGAGAUAAUCCCACAUUCCUUAAGAUAGUCAAGGAACUCAGUACUAAGAUACUCACCACCACGAUCGGAUCGAAGCAUCUUAAUGUUCCUGCCCAACUGAUUCUCCACUUCUUGCUUAAACUAUUUGAAUUUCUCAAAGGUUUCAGACUUAUGCUUGAUUAAGUAAAGAAAUCCAUAUCUACUAAAAUCAUUAGUGAUAGUCACAUAGAACCGAUUAGCAUCUCUUGUGGCGGUUCUAAAGGGUCCACACACAUCCGUGUGUAUGAGGUCUAACAAACCUUCACCCCUAGCUCAAGUGCCAGUAAAAGGUGACUUUGUCAUUUUACCAAGCAAACAAGAUUCACAACUAUCAUCCGACUUUGGGUCAAAUGACGCCAAGACUCCAUCCUUUUGGAGUUGGCCUAUGCGUUUCUUGCUUACAUGUGCAAGACGACAAUGCCAUAAAGAUGCUUUAUCUAAUCUAGUGGAAGAGUCAAUAUACAAUACAUUAUUUCCUAGAUUAUCUACAACAUAUACAGUUUCAUACACGCCAUCACAAGGUAAUGCUUUAAAUAAAGAACAUUAUUAAAGAAAGCGUCAAUACUACCAUUAUUAUUAUCAAAAAAAAAAAGGUAAAACCUUGUUUAUACAAUGCAUGAAAGGAAAUAACAUUUCUUGCCAUUUCUGGCGAAUAAUAACACUUAUUCAAAUCUAAUGUAAACCCACNGAUAAAGUAUAAACCCCAAUCUUGGUGAUAGAUGAAGCUUUCCUGUUUCCCAUGAUCAAGUUUAUUCUUCCUUGCUCCACAUUCUCACUUCUUCUUAGUCCCUGCUAAUCACAACAUAUGUGAAUACCACAACAUGUGUCAAGGACCCAAGACUUAGAAUGAGGUGAGUUAUUAGACAAUAUAGUGUAUAUACCUGCAUGGUUGGGUUUUACUUUCCUAUCCUUCACAUCCUGCUGGUACAUUGGGUAGUUUCACUUCCAGUGCGACUUUUCACGAAAAUAGAAGCAUUCAGCCUCAUUAGGGUUAGCACAAGGAGUGACAAAACAUUUUUUGGUUUUGCUUGAAGAGGAGCCUACAAGGGUCUUACCCUUGGUACCCUUAGAAGGGUUCUUUCUCUUCUUCCCUUAGCCAUGCCCGAUUGCCAAGACAUUGGCCGCAAUUGGAGUAGGAGUAGGAGUAGUAACAACCGACUUACCCUUUAGACCACUUUCGGCAGUCUUCAAGAGUCCUUGAAGUUUGCUGAGGGUGACUUCUUCCUUGUUCAUGUGAUAUGUCAUGCGGAAUUGAUCGUAACACGAUGGUAAGGAACGCAAAAUGAUGUCUAUUGCUAACUCCUCGGGGAAGUUCACAUUUAGCUUCAGUAAACGGUCCACAUACCUUUGCAUUUUCUGCAUUUGGCCCGUGAUGGGUUCACCAUCCUUCAUUCGGGUUGUUAUCAUGGAGGAGAUUAUUUCAUAUCGCUCUUGACGAGCACUUUGAUGGUAACGGUCCAUCAAGUCCUGGUGCAUCUCAAAAGGAUAAUAGUCCUCAUAGGACUUCUGGAGCUCGGCUGUCAUGGUGGCCAUCAUGAUGCAUGCUACUUUUGUAGCAUCUCUUUCAUGUACCACAUAUUCAGCAAGCUCUUUAGGAGUAGCAGUUGGCUCGGGUACCUUUAGCUCCUUGUCGAGAACGUAUUCUUUGUUCUCAUACCGAGUGACCAUCUUGAUGUUUUUGAUCCAAUCAGCAAAGUUGGAUCCAUCAAAGGUGACUCUCCCACAAAGAUUCAUGAGAGAGAAAGAGCUAGUAGGGUUAGAGCCAGAAGCAUUGUUAUUGGAAGACAUCUGAAAAGAAGGGGGAAUAGAUUAGAUUAGAUUUAGAGAUAGUCCUUAAUAAAACACCCAAAUGUAGUAUUAAGGCUAGGACCCAACACAAUAUUUUAUAACUUAGAAGAGGGAUGUAGUAAUCUAAGCUGUAAGAUAUCUGAAGGUAGGUGAAUAACGAUUCACCAAUUUCCACCAUGAAAAACGAAAUUUUUGAUUAGGUUUUAAUUGGUUUAGAAACUCCUAGAUUCUUUGAGAUUCAUUGAACUUUAAUCAAUGGCAUGUUUCAAUCUCGAGUGUGCCCUUCAAGUUUUGUGACUGGGAUACCGAGGAUCAUAAAACAAGGUGUGAAGUAACCAUGCAAAUUACUUGGUACCCUUAAUGUAUUACCCCUCAAUCGAUGUGCUGGUUAACCACACACGCUCCAUCGAUACUAUGAUAAACAUUAAGUCACCCUUUACCUACCUUGUUAAGUUCAAGUUAGUGUGCCGGUUAACCACACACGCUCCACUAACGACUUAAACAAAGUGUAAAGUGUAAUUUCAUGGAUUAGCACCUUAUUCACAUUUUCCUAAAAUAACUAAGAUUGGGAAUUCUAUAAACUUUAGUUACUUUAGUAUUAUCAUUAUACUUUUAAUGAGAAUUUAUAAGUCCUUGUCCUACCCGUUCGGCUAACGACCCUCCACCGAUCAAGGAAGCGGUGGGUGAG
rnacentral:lncRNA from 1 species